CUAUACCUUAAAUUCUUGUUCAUUUGCCAAGAAAAUGUUAUUGCAUCGCACUAGAAUUUUGUAACAGACAAAAGAGGAACGGAAGUCAAAACGGCCGAGUGUGUUUCUUUGUACACACCCUAGGAUAGGAUCUGCUUUGGGCCGGCUUUGCAUUUAUCUGGCUUAUGUCCUUGGCAGCUUCUUCCAACAGCCAAAAACUCUGGAUAAUAACUCACUGGAGCAUCCACACCCUUGCUAGCUAAACCCAAUCCUUAGCUCUAAUAGCUAGUGACAGUGGAAAAAAGUUGAACAUUGUUGCUCUCUAUUUGGCUAGUUAUACUAGCAAAAUGAACAGUACUCGCUAUAUAUAGCGAGUACUGUAGCACUCCUCAAUUGACUUUUAGAGAAAGCGCGAGAGAGGAGAAGAUUGCGGGGAAAAAAUGUACAUUGCAUCUGGGUUUUCUCUUUUGUUCUUGGCUUCAAGUUUCCUACCAAUCAACAUCAACAGUUCAACGAUGGCGAUCGUACAGUUCAUCUGGAUCCGUGGUGAUAGCGCAGUCGCACUUGCUCGGCAAAUAUUGGACAAGAUGGCAGGCAAAUGAAAGGCCCACGGUAAUGGGGUUCUCUAGAAGUCAAAUGGGUUAUAUUUUUUUCUGGGUAACCUUGAUUUCUGACAAAUAUGGACUUUUUCUUCAGAGGUCUAAACGAGGAUCCCACAACUCCUCAGCUAGACAUCCAUGGGCGUCUCUUUUUGAGAAACAUUAACGAGCACUAGUUUUUCGCAUUUCCUUUGAGACCCAGCAAAUUGUAUUGUUACUUGGAGCUUGUUUGGUGAAUAAAUGCUGAUUUUUAGACUGUUCCCAAA